UUGGUGUGUUCUCAAGAGAUUUUUAGAAAUGGGUGGUAUUUUGACUAACUGGAAUACUUAUUGGGAAGUUCUUAUGUGAUAAGAACUUGAAGACAAAGUUAGAGAGGUAAGAGAAGAGUGGAAAAUAAAGCGGUCAGUUUGUGAGCAUCAAGGCCUGGUAUCAGGAGGGCUUUUACUGGAGUUUGGGUUUCUAGGCAGGACUAGAAAGUAAGUCAUGGGGAAAUGGAUGACUAAAGGGCCUUUUAAAACAAUGAACUAAAAGCAGGGAACAUGUUAAAUUUUUUUUUUUUUUUUUGGUCUUCUCAUCUGGUUUCUUUCUGCCUGAAUCUUUUUGUAUGAAGGAUUGUGGGUUUCAUGUAGAGAGCUUCUUUGGAUAGAUUGACUAUACACAAUCCUUAUUCUCAGCAUUGUUGCAGGCAAAAUAUUUUCGUUUUGAGUUCUCUUGAGAACAUUUGGAUUGUUUCAUGGCAAGACUAAAUUUUUCUGGAUCUGAAAUGAAUUCCCUUUUUUCUGGUUCUUAACCAGAAAGGCCUAUGAAGAAUUGUCUUUUCCAGCAGACAACCCUUUUUAAAAAUCAUACCCUUCCUCUUUUAUAUUCAACUUCUCUGUCUCUUUGCUGACUUUGUCUAGGUUUUUUCUUAUUCUCAAAAAUCCUUCAUUAAUCCUAGCAUUCCUGCUCCUCUCCCAAAUCCAUCUAUACUUGGUGUCUCCAUUAUACACUUCUUACUUACUUGUAAACCUUCUGCAGCCUGGCUUCCACUUUUGUCACUUAACUGAAGUGGCUCUUUCUAAAGUUACUAAUUAACUUUUUUUUAAAAAAAAUUAUUUUUAUUUUCAGUUUGAAAUUCUCUUCUCUCCAAUCUUUUCCUACCCAUUGAGAAGAUGGCGUUCAUUAUACACAAGAGUGAGGCGAGGAUCCACAAAUGUGUGGGAAGAUAUAAUCCAGGAUUUUGUUGUUUUGAUUAAAAUAUUUUAUUUUGUAUAAAGUCGAAUAAUGCUAUUGAUCACAAAUAAAUAUCAUCUCUAAUUCUGUUUUUCUUUAAAUAAUAAAGAUGUUGUCUAAUAUGUAAUAUCACUUA